GAUGAACGCUGGCGGCGUGCCUAAUACAUGCAAGUCGAGCGAACGGACGCGAAGCUUGCUUUUCUGAUGUUAGCGGCGGACGGGUGAGUAACACGUGGAUAACCUACCUAUAAGACUGGGAUAACUUCGGAAAACCGGAGCUAAUACCGGAUAAUAUUUUGAACCGCAUGGUUCAAAAGUGAAAGACGGUCUUGCUGUCACUUAUAGAUGGAUCCGCGCUGCAUUAGCUAGUUGGUAAGGUAACGGCUUACCAAGGCAACGAUGCAUAGCCGACCUGAUAGGGUGAUCGGCGACACUGGAAGUGAGACACGGUCCUGACGCCUACGGGACGCAGCAGUAGGGAAUCUUACGCAAUGGGCGAAAGCCUGACGGAGCAACGCCGCGUGAGUGAUGAAGGUCUUCGGAUCGUAAAACUCUGUUAUGAGGGAAGAACAUCUGUGUAAGUAACUGUGCACAGCUUGACGGUACCUAAUCAGAAAGCCACGGCUAACUACGUG
rnacentral:rRNA from 1 species